CCUACGGUGGGCAGCCGUGAGGAAUAUUGGUCAAUGGGCGCGAGCCUGAACCAGCCAAGUCGCGUGAGGGAAGACGGCCCUACGGGUUGUAAACCUCUUUGCCGGGGAGCAACGGGCGCCACGUGUGGCGCCACUGAGAGUACCCGGAGAACAAGCAUCGGCUAACGCCGUGCCAGCAGCCGCGGUAAGACGGAGGAUGCGAGCGUUAUCCGGAUUUAUUGGGUUGAAAGGGUGCGUAGGCGGAGCGUUAAGUCAGUGGACAAAUUGAGGGGCUCAACCCCUUCCCGCCAUUGAAACUGGCGCUAUGGAGUGGAAGAGAAGUAGGUGGAAUGCGUGGUGUAGCGGUGAAAUGCAUAGAUAUCACGCAGAACCCCGAUUGCGAAGGCAGCAUGCCGGCUUCCGACUGACGCUGAAGCACGAAAGCGUGGGGAUCGAACAGGAUUAGAUACCCCAGUAGUC
rnacentral:rRNA from 1 species